rnacentral:tRNA from 1 species
AAUUAUAUAGCUUACAUAUAGAGCAAUUUACUGAAGAUAAAGAGGACUAUAACAG